GACGAACGCUGGCGGCGCGCCUAACACAUGCAAGUCGAACGAGCGAGAGAGAGCUUGCUUUCUUGAGCGAGUGGCGAACGGGUGAGUAACGCGUGAGGAACCUGCCUCAAAGAGGGGGACAACAGUUGGAAACGACUGCUAAUACCGCAUAAGCCCACGGUGCCGCAUGGCACCGAGGGAAAAGGAGCAAUCCGCUUUGAGAUGGCCUCGCGUCCGAUUAGCUAGUUGGUGAGGUAACGGCCCACCAAGGCGACGAUCGGUAGCCGGACUGAGAGGUUGAACGGCCACAUUGGGACUGAGACACGGCCCAGACUCCUACGGGAGGCAGCAGUGGGGAAUAUUGCACAAUGGGGGAAACCCUGAUGCAGCGACGCCGCGUGGAGGAAGAAGGUCUUCGGAUUGUAAACUCCUGUUGUUGGGGAAGAUAAUGACGGUACCCAACAAGGAAGAGACGGCUAACUACGUG
rnacentral:rRNA from 1 species